rnacentral:ncRNA from 1 species
UUGAGCCGUAUGCGGUGAAAGUCGCACGUACGGUUCUUAGAAGAGUCGGAGCGAGUAAUCGCUCCCUCUUAUUCGGCAAAAUACGGCUUCAAG